rnacentral:rRNA from 1 species
UACGUAGGGUGCAAGCGUUAACGGAAUUACUGGGCGUAAAGCGUGCGCAGGCGGUUCGGAAAGAAAGAUGUGAAAUCCCAGAGCUUAACUUUGGAACUGCAUUUUUAACUACCGGGCUAGAGUGUGUCAGAGGGAGGUGGAAUUCCGCGUGUAGCAGUGAAAUGCGUAGAUAUGCGGAGGAACACCGAUGGCGAAGGCAGCCUCCUGGGAUAACACUGACGCUCAUGCACGAAAGCGUGGGGAGCAAACAGGAUUAGAUACCCUGGUAGUCCACGCCCUAAACGAUGUCAACUAGCUGUUGGGGCCUUCGGGCCUUGGUAGCGCAGCUAACGCGUGAAGUUGACCGCCUGGGGAGUACGGUCGCAAGAUUAAAACUCAAAGGAAUUGACGGGGACCCGCACAAGCGGUGGAUGAUGUGGAUUAAUUCGAUGCAACGCGAAAAACCUUACCUACCCUUGACAUGUCUGGAAUGCCGAAGAGAUUUGGCAGUGCUCGCAAGAGAACCGGAACACAGGUGCUGCAUGGCUGUCGUCAGCUCGUGUCGUAAGAUGUUGGGUUAAGUCCCGCAACGAGCGCAACCCUUGUCAUUAGUUGCUACGAAAGGGCACUCUAAUGAGACUGCCGGUGACAAACCGGAGGAAGGUGGGGAUGACGUCAAGUCCUCAUGGCCCCUUAUGGGUAGGGCUUCACACGUCAUACAAUGGUCGGGACAGAGGGUCGCCAACCCGCGAGGGGGAGCCAAUCCCAGAAACCCGAUCGUAGUCCGGAAUCGCAGUCUGCAACUCGACUGCGUGAAGUCGGAAAUCGCUAGUAAUCCGCGGAAUCAGC